AUACAGAGGGUGCGAGCGUUAAUCGGAAUUACUGGGCGUAAAGCGCGCGUAGGCGGCUGAUUAAGUCGGAUGUGAAAUCCCUGGGCUCAACCUAGGAACUGCAUCCGAUACUGGUCAGCUAGAGUUUUGGAGAGGUAAGUGGAAUUUCCGGUGUAGCGGUGAAAUGCAUAGAGAUCGGAAGGAACACCAGUGGCGAAGGCGACUUACUGGCCAAAAACUGACGCUGAGGUGCGAAAGCGUGGGUAGCGAACAGGAUUAGAAACCCUAGUAGUCC
rnacentral:rRNA from 1 species